rnacentral:rRNA from 1 species
ACGCUCGACACCUACUGGAGGCAGCAGUGGGGAAUAUUGCACAAUGGGGGAAACCCGUGAUGCAGCGACGCCGCGUGAAGGAAGAAGUAUCUCGGUAUGUAAACUUCUAUCAGCAGGGAAGAAAGUGACGGUACCUGACUAAGAAGCCCCGGCUAACUACGUGCCUGCAGCCGCGGUAAUCUGAGCGGGCUGGCAAGGC